rnacentral:rRNA from 1 species
AUGUAUAGCAGUAGCGUGGGACAACCGGCGCUACUGCUAUACGUUAGCUGUAGCGCCUUAUUAGUAGCGCUGGUGCCCGCGCUACUGAGAGGCCCAAAACCCUCGCUGCUGGUAGGCUUUUCCCUAGUAGUGCUUGGUGAUUUUAAUGAAAUCCUCUUGGGAAGUGAGAAGGAAGGCGGGGCACUGAGGUCCCAAAGAAAUAUGCAGAAUUUUCAUGAUGCACUGGAUGAUUGUAACUUGUUUGAUAUGGGUUACGUCGGGGACAUCUUCACAUGGCGAAGGGGAAGGAUCCAGGAGAGGCUUGACCGGGCUGUAUGUGACCAACGAUGGGAUAAUCUUUUCCCUAUGGCGGGGGUGAUCCAUGGCGAUUUCUCCAAAUCAGAUCACAGACCGAUAGUG